AGUGAACGCUGGCGGUAGGCCUAACACAUGCAAGUCGAACGGCAGCACAGUAAGAGCUUGCUCUUACGGGUGGCGAGUGGCGGACGGGUGAGGAAUACAUCGGAAUCUACUUUUUCGUGGGGGAUAACGUAGGGAAACUUACGCUCAUACCGCAUACGACCUACGGGUGAAAGCAGGGGAUCUUCGGAACUUGCGCGAUUGAAUGAGUCGAUGUCGGAUUAGCUAGUUGGCGGGGUAAAGGCCCACCAAGGCGACGAUCCGUAGCUGGUCUGAGAGGAUGAUCCGCCACACUGGAACUGAGACACGGUCCAGACUCCUACGGGAGGCAGCAGUGGGGAAUAUUGGACAAUGGGCGCAAGCCUGAUCCAGCCAUACCGCGUGGGUGAAGAAGGCCUUCGGGUUGUAAAGCCCUUUUGUUGGGAAAGAAAAGCAGCAGGUUAAUACCCCGCUGUUCUGACGGUACCCAAAGAAUAAGCACCGGCUAACUUCGUG
rnacentral:rRNA from 1 species